UCUCUUGGAGUCGACACUUCCAGCCCGAGGAAGCAGAUCUUCAUGGGUGGCAGUAAAGGAAUCUACCAAGAUGGAGAAAUAAGUAAGGUUCCACAUGAACCUGUUACCAAUUCGACUUCAAAUAUCUGGGAGUGCAGCAGCAGCAAAGCUUAAGCUGCAGCAUCAGCAUCAGCAAGGUGGCCUUGGAAAGCUGAUCAGAGCCCUGGAUACAUCUCUCCUGGGAAGCACCAACAUCUGCAGUCUCCCAGGAUUUGUGUGAUGGGGAAAGACUCCAUUGUGUUUGGGAUUGGUCUCCAGGUCAAAGUCUUUUAAAUUUCAUUCACAAACAGAGUUAACUGAGAUUGACUUCCCACAGUGGCCUACAUGCAUCUGUUCACCAAUGAAAACAUCAUCAAAUUGUCUUCUGAAGGGAUAAACCUAACCUGUCUAAAGAGUCUUAAAAGAAUAUAAGUGGGAAAUGAAAUUUACUCUUGGUUCCAAGUGAUGUCUUCCUUUUUAUCUUUUGUGUCUCUUCCAUAUGUUUAAAUCUCAGCCCAGAUUUUUAGGGAAAUGCUUGCCUUGAAAGAUGCACACAAUUUACUGUCUCAAAGAGGAAUAAAGCUGUUCAACCUACUGAUCAUAAACAGUUCUAAAUAUGGCCAGAAUCUGUUGCCAUCUCCUGAGCUCAAAUGCCAAACUGUGACUUAGCCUCAAGAAAUCAUGUUUCUAACUGAU